UUAAGCGACUAAGCGUACACGGUGGAUGCCCUGGCAGUCAGAGGCGAUGAAGGACGUGCUAAUCUGCGAUAAGCGUCGGUAAGGUGAUAUGAACCGUUAUAACCGGCGAUUUCCGAAUGGGGAAACCCAGUGUGUUUCGACACACUAUCAUUAACUGAAUCCAUAGGUUAAUGAGGCGAACCGGGGGAACUGAAACAUCUAAGUACCCCGAGGAAAAGAAAUCAACCGAGAUUCCCCCAGUAGCGGCGAGCGAACGGGGAGCAGCCCAGAGCCUGAAUCAGUGUGUGUGUUAGUGGAAGCGUCUGGAAAGGCGCGCGAUACAGGGUGACAGCCCCGUACACAAAAAUGCACAUACUGUGAGCUCGAUGAGUAGGGCGGGACACGUGGUAUCCUGUCUGAAUAUGGGGGGACCAUCCUCCAAGGCUAAAUACUCCUGACUGACCGAUAGUGAACCAGUACCGUGAGGGAAAGGCGAAAAGAACCCCGGCGAGGGGAGUGAAAAAGAACCUGAAACCGUGUACGUACAAGCAGUGGGAGCCUCUUUUAUGGGGUGACUGCGUACCUUUUGUAUAAUGGGUCAGCGACUUAUAUUCUGUAGCAAGGUUAACCGAAUAGGGGAGCCGAAGGGAAACCGAGUCUUAACUGGGCGUUAAGUUGCAGGGUAUAGACCCGAAACCCGGUGAUCUAGCCAUGGGCAGGUUGAAGGUUGGGUAACACUAACUGGAGGACCGAACCGACUAAUGUUGAAAAAUUAGCGGAUGACUUGUGGCUGGGGGUGAAAGGCCAAUCAAACCGGGAGAUAGCUGGUUCUCCCCGAAAGCUAUUUAGGUAGCGCCUCGUGAAUUCAUCUCCGGGGGUAGAGCACUGUUUCGGCAAGGGGGUCAUCCCGACUUACCAACCCGAUGCAAACUGCGAAUACCGGAGAAUGUUAUCACGGGAGACACACGGCGGGUGCUAACGUCCGUCGUGAAGAGGGAAACAACCCAGACCGCCAGCUAAGGUCCCAAAGUCAUGGUUAAGUGGGAAACGAUGUGGGAAGGCCCAGACAGCCAGGAUGUUGGCUUAGAAGCAGCCAUCAUUUAAAGAAAGCGUAAUAGCUCACUGGUCGAGUCGGCCUGCGCGGAAGAUGUAACGGGGCUAAACCAUGCACCGAAGCUGCGGCAGCGACACUAUGUGUUGUUGGGUAGGGGAGCGUUCUGUAAGCCUGUGAAGGUGUACUGUGAGGUAUGCUGGAGGUAUCAGAAGUGCGAAUGCUGACAUAAGUAACGAUAAAGCGGGUGAAAAGCCCGCUCGCCGGAAGACCAAGGGUUCCUGUCCAACGUUAAUCGGGGCAGGGUGAGUCGACCCCUAAGGCGAGGCCGAAAGGCGUAGUCGAUGGGAAACAGGUUAAUAUUCCUGUACUUGGUGUUACUGCGAAGGGGGGACGGAGAAGGCUAUGUUGGCCGGGCGACGGUUGUCCCGGUUUAAGCGUGUAGGCUGGUUUUCCAGGCAAAUCCGGAAAAUCAAGGCUGAGGCGUGAUGACGAGGCACUACGGUGCUGAAGCAACAAAUGCCCUGCUUCCAGGAAAAGCCUCUAAGCAUCAGGUAACAUCAAAUCGUACCCCAAACCGACACAGGUGGUCAGGUAGAGAAUACCAAGGCGCUUGAGAGAACUCGGGUGAAGGAACUAGGCAAAAUGGUGCCGUAACUUCGGGAGAAGGCACGCUGAUAUGUAGGUGAAGUCCCUCGCGGAUGGAGCUGAAAUCAGUCGAAGAUACCAGCUGGCUGCAACUGUUUAUUAAAAACACAGCACUGUGCAAACACGAAAGUGGACGUAUACGGUGUGACGCCUGCCCGGUGCCGGAAGGUUAAUUGAUGGGGUUAGCGCAAGCGAAGCUCUUGAUCGAAGCCCCGGUAAACGGCGGCCGUAACUAUAACGGUCCUAAGGUAGCGAAAUUCCUUGUCGGGUAAGUUCCGACCUGCACGAAUGGCGUAAUGAUGGCCAGGCUGUCUCCACCCGAGACUCAGUGAAAUUGAACUCGCUGUGAAGAUGCAGUGUACCCGCGGCAAGACGGAAAGACCCCGUGAACCUUUACUAUAGCUUGACACUGAACAUUGAGCCUUGAUGUGUAGGAUAGGUGGGAGGCUUAGAAGUGUGGACGCCAGUCUGCAUGGAGCCGACCUUGAAAUACCACCCUUUAAUGUUUGAUGUUCUAACGUUGACCCGUGAUCCGGGUUGCGGACAGUGUCUGGUGGGUAGUUUGACUGGGGCGGUCUCCUCCUAAAGAGUAACGGAGGAGCACGAAGGUUGGCUAAUCCUGGUCGGACAUCAGGAGGUUAGUGCAAUGGCAUAAGCCAGCUUGACUGCGAGCGUGACGGCGCGAGCAGGUGCGAAAGCAGGUCAUAGUGAUCCGGUGGUUCUGAAUGGAAGGGCCAUCGCUCAACGGAUAAAAGGUACUCCGGGGAUAACAGGCUGAUACCGCCCAAGAGUUCAUAUCGACGGCGGUGUUUGGCACCUCGAUGUCGGCUCAUCACAUCCUGGGGCUGAAGUAGGUCCCAAGGGUAUGGCUGUUCGCCAUUUAAAGUGGUACGCGAGCUGGGUUUAGAACGUCGUGAGACAGUUCGGUCCCUAUCUGCCGUGGGCGCUGGAGAAUUGAGGGGGGCUGCUCCUAGUACGAGAGGACCGGAGUGGACGCAUCACUGGUGUUCGGGUUGUCAUGCCAAUGGCACUGCCCGGUAGCUAAAUGCGGAAGAGAUAAGUGCUGAAAGCAUCUAAGCACGAAACUUGCCCCGAGAUGAGUUCUCCCUGACCCUUUAAGGGUCCUGAAGGAACGUUGAAGACGACGACGUUGAUAGGCCGGGUGUGUAAGCGCAGCGAUGCGUUGAGCUAACCGGUACUAAUGAACCGUGAGGCUUAACCUU
rnacentral:rRNA from 1 species